AUGACGCUGGCGGAUGCUUACACACUGCAAGUCUGAACGGCAGCACGGACUUCGGUCUGGUGGCGAGUGGCGAACGGGUGAGUAAUACAUCGGAACGUGCCCAGUCGUGGGGGAUAACGUAGCGAACAGCUACGCUAAUACCGCAUACGACUCUAACGGAUGAAAGCGGGGGAUCGCAAGACCUCGCGCGAUUGGAGCGGCCGAUGGCAGAUUAGGUAGCUUGGUAGGGUAAAGGCCUACCAAGCCGACGAAUCUGUAGCUGGGUCUGAGAGGACGACCAGCCACACUGGCGACUGAGACACGGCCACACUCCUACGAGGAGUGCAGCAGUGGGGAAUUAUUGGACAAUGGGCGAAAGCCUGAUCCAGGCCAUUCCGCAGUGCACGGAUGAAGUGCCCUCGGGUUGUAAACUUGCUAUUUGUACGGAACGAAAAGGUACCUGGGUUAAUACCUGAGGCUCAUGACGGUAACCGUAAGAAAUAAGCAACACGGCUAACUAAGUUACCACACAAACGCGGUACAUACAGAUAGGGUGCAAAGCGUAAAUACGGAAUUAACUGGGACG
rnacentral:rRNA from 1 species